rnacentral:rRNA from 1 species
AGUUCGGUCCCUAUCUGCCGUGGGCGCUGGAGAACUGAGGGGGGCUGCUCCUAGUACGAGAGGACCGGAGUGGACGCAUCACUGGUGUUCGGGUUGUCAUGCCAAUGGCACUGCCCGGUAGCUAAAUGCGGAAGAGAUAAGUGCUGAAAGCAUCUAAGCACGAAACUUGCCCCGAGAUGAGUUCUCCCUGACUCCUUGAGAGUCCUGAAGGAACGUUGAAGACGACGACGUUGAUAGGCCGGGUGUGUAAGCGCAGCGAUGCGUUGAGCUAACCGGUACUAAUGAACCGUGAGGCUUAACCUUACAACGCCGAAG